GCUUGAUCAAGGCCGAAUUCCUUGGCACCGGGAAGCGGGGGAACCACUUUGGGUGAAUUGAUCUCGCAGCAUAGGGAUCAUAGGGGACGACCUUCAACCGAAUCCUUAAGCUAACCUCGCAGGCAACAUGGAAGGGGUUU
rnacentral:sRNA from 2 species